UAAUUUCUGGGAUAUUUGAGAUGCUCUAUAUUUUGAACCUACAUUACUAAAACGGGAGUUCAACAUUUAGGCGUAGAUAUGUACUUUCUUGUGAGACCUUUUGACGGCUUUGAGGGCGAUAGAAACAUCUGUGAGGACACCCACCUAUCGGAGAGAUAGGUGUCAAAAUUAGAACGGCGGUAUUUCGGAUUAUAC
rnacentral:other from 1 species